CCCUUAGAUGUUCGGGGCCGCACGCGCGCUACACUGAAUGAAUCAGCGAGUGUAUGUCCUAGGCCGAAAGGUCCGGGUAACCCGUUGAACCUCAUUCGUGAUUGGGAUAGGGACUUGCAAUUGUUUCCCUUGAACGAGGAAUUCCCAGUAAGCGCAAGUCAUCAGCUUGCGUUGAUUACGUCCCUGCCCUUUGUACACACCGCCCGUCGCUACUACCGAUUGAAUGUUCCGGUGAGCUCUUCGGACUGCGCGGUCUGCAGUUUCUGCGUUCCGUGCGGAAAGUUGUGCAAACCUUAACAUUUAGAGGAAGGAGAAGUCGUAACA
rnacentral:rRNA from 1 species